UAUUUGCACUGACCAAACCAUUUGCCACGCAACACUUUGAACUAUUUAUUUGCACACGUGCGCGGUUCGGUUUUUGAAAUCCGUAGUUUCUGACUCCUCCUCCCCCUGUUUCAUC
ensembl:ncRNA R09A8.8 ncRNA